rnacentral:rRNA from 1 species
AUUGAACGCUGGCGGCAGGCCUAACACAUGCAAGUCGAACGAGUGGCGGACGGGUGAGUAAUGUAUGGGAAACUGCCUGCUGGAGGGGGAUAAAUACUGGAAACGGUAGCUAAUACAGCAUAACAUAAGAUGUGCCCAAAGGGGAUUAGAUUGGGUGUGGGGUAACGGCGCACCAAGGCGACGAUCCCUAGCUGGUCUGAGAGGAUGACCAGCCACAUUGGGACUGAGACACGGUCCAGACUCCUACGUGAGGCAGCAGGGGGGAAUAUUGCACAAUGGGCGCAAGCCUGAUGCAGCCAUGCCGCGUGUAUGAAGAAGGCCUUCGGGUUGGAAAGUACUUUCAGCGGGGAGGCGUUACCCACAGAAGAAGCAACGGCUAACUCCGUGCCAGCCGCCGCGGUAAUUC